UACGGGGGGGGCAAGCGUUGUUCGGAAUUACUGGGCGUAAAGGGCUCGUAGGUGGCCAACUAAGUCAGACGUGAAAUCCCUCGGCUUAACCGGGGAACUGCGUCUGAUACUGGAUGGCUUGAGAUUGGGAGAGGGAUGCGGAAUUCCAGGUGUAGCGGUGAAAUGCGUAGAUAUCAGGAGGAACACCUGCGGUGUAGACGGCUUACUGGACCAUAACUGACGCUGAGGCACGAAAGCGUGGGUAGCAAACAGG
rnacentral:rRNA from 1 species